CACAAGCGGUGGAUGAUGUGGAUUAAUUCGAUGCAACGCGAAAACCUUACCUACCCUUGACAUGUCCGGAAUCCCGAAGAGAUUUGGGAGUGCUCGCAAGAGAGCCGGAACACAGGUGCUGCAUGGCUGUCGUCAGCUCGUGUCGUGGGAUGUUGGGUUAAGUCCCGCAACGAGCGCAACCCUUGUCAUUAGUUGCCAUCAUUUGGUUGGGCACUCUAAUGAGACUGCCGGUGACAAACCGGAGGAAGGUGGGGAUGACGUCAAGUCCUCAUGGCCCUUAUGGGUAGGGCUUCACACGUCAUACAAUGGUCGGUACAGAGGGUUGCCAACCCGCGAGGGGGAGCUAAUCCCACAAAGCCGAUCGUAGUCCGGAUCGCAGUCUGCAACUCGACUGCGUGAAGUCGGAAUCGCUAGUAAUCGUGGAUCAGCAUGUCACGGUGAAUACGUUCCCGGGUCUU
rnacentral:rRNA from 1 species